rnacentral:rRNA from 1 species
UGCAGUCGAGCGCCCCCGCAAGGGGGAGCGGCGGACGGGUGAGUAACGCGUGGGAAUUUUCCUCAAGGUACGGAACACCUCAGGGAAACUUGGGCUAAUACCGUAUGAUCUCUAGCGACCAAGAUUUAUCGCCUUGGGAUAAGCCCGCGUCAUAUUAUGUAUUUUGUGGGGUAACGGCCUACCAAGCCUGCGAUCUGUAUCUGGUCUGAGAGGACGAUCAGCCACACUGGGACUGAGACACGGCCCAGACUCCUACGGGAGGCAGCAGUGGGGAAUCUUGCGCAAUGGGCGAAAGCCUGACGCAGCCAUGCCGCGUGAAUGAUGAAGGUCUUAGGAUUGUAAAGUUCUUUCGCCCGUGACGAUGAUGACGGUCCCGGGAGAAAAAGCCCCGGCUAACUUCGUGCCAGCAGCCGCGG